rnacentral:lncRNA from 1 species
AGACUUGUCGUGUGAACGUGCAGUCUUUGCAUAGGUGCGUCGGUGAUUCCGGUUCCGAGGUGCAAAGUUUAUAUGAGGGUUAUUUGGCCAUCCUCUCUUCUCCAAAUUGUCGGGCUGUCAAUAUUUUCUUUUGCAAUAGGAUCCAUGCAAAGAACCGGCAUUUGAGUUCUAUUUUGGCUUUCCAUAUUGGCCCGAUGUUGAAUUUUUUUGUGUAGCCCUCAAACUGAAUGCGGUACGCACUUUGUGUUGAAUAUUCUUCAUUUGCC